GUGGAUUAGAUACCCUGGUAGUCCACGCUGUAAACGAUGUCGAUUUGGAGGUUGUGCCCUUGAGGCGUGGCUUCCGGAGCUAACGCGUUAAAUCGACCGCCUGGGGAGUACGGCCGCAAGGUUAAAACUCAAAUGAAUUGACGGGGGCCCGCACAAGCGGUGGAGCAUGUGGUUUAAUUCGAUGCAACGCGAAGAACCUUACCUACUCUUGACAUCCAGAGAACUUAGCAGAGAUGCUUUGGUGCCUUCGGGAACUCUGAGACAGGUGCUGCACGGCCGUCGCCAACU
rnacentral:rRNA from 1 species